AUUGAACGCUGGCGGCAUGCUUUACACAUGCAAGUCGAACGGCAGCGGGGUAGUGCUUGCACUACUGCCGGCGAGUGGCGCACGGGUGAGUAAUAUAUCGGAACGUACCGAGUAAUGGGGGAUAACCAAUCGAAAGAUUGGCUAAUACCGCAUACGUCCUGAGGGAGAAAGCGGGGGAUCGCAAGACCUCGCGUUAUUCGAGCGGCCGAUAACUGAUUAGCUAGUUGGUGGGGUAAAGGCCUACCAAGGCGACGAUCAGUAGCGGGUCUGAGAGGACGAUCCGCCACACUGGGACUGAGACACGGCCCAGACUCCUACGGGAGGCAGCAGUGGGGAAUUUUGGACAAUGGGGGCAACCCUGAUCCAGCCAUGCCGCGUGUAUGAAGAAGGCCUUCGGGUUGUAAAGUACUUUUGUUAGGGAAGAAAAGGGAAGUGCUAAUACCACUUUUUGCUGACGGUACCUAAAGAAUAAGCACCGGCUAACUACGUG
rnacentral:rRNA from 1 species